UUCUUGACCGCCGUAAAAAUUUCGCUAGCCCAACCCUCCUCUGCCUCCCCCUCACCCCCUGCCCCCGACCGCGCCGCCUCCGCCUCUGCCGCCGCGGCAUAUCCAGCCUUCUGCGGCGACCUCCGAGUGUCUCAUACGCUCUAGAUCCGUCGACCUGAACCAAUUAUUCGUGUGAGGCACUGCAGAAUAUAAACUAAAAAGUGGUUACCAUGGCUGAGGAUGCUAUUGCGCUGAAUGGACUAAAUGGUGACCAUCAUAGGCAGUUUCAUAGGUCCGUGAUACCGAUUCUUCCUAAAAUCUAGAAAGUGCACGCGCACUAUCUGAACGAGUCGAGCGGCCGACUCCUGGCCGCACGAUCUGAUGCGUGUCGUCGCGAUUCCCACCUACAGGUGCUGCUUGGUCAGCAAUGGGCAUCGCUGGGAAGACAACAGGACUCUGAUCUCCACCGCCAAGCUAUCUGUCGUCUCCACGCCGUCUACUCUGAGGCUCGAGCUCCGUCGCCUGCUCAACUGGGUGCCGCAUAGGGUUGGGCAACCCCCCUUUUUGGUCUUAGUACCUUCCGAGCCUGCGUGCUCGUUGCUUUUGGGCCGUUCUCCGCCUUGUAACGCAACUGUGCGCUCAUUUAGCGGCCUAUCCUCUUAUCAGUCGUGUUAGCUUAUGUUGUUUCGGUCGGUGGUUGUGCUACUCUGCCUAAG